rnacentral:lncRNA from 1 species
GUCAAAAUAAGCGGAUAUUACUGAGCGUGUAGAAAAGGCAAAAGUGUUACAUGGGGAGUAUUGUCCUUACAUCACUGUGCUUUGUGGAGGACUCAAAUAAUCAGGUUUUUGUGUGCGUGCAGGUGUGUGACAGCCCUUCAAAGGCGGAAACAGGAUGCCUAACUUUUAAUGCUGAAAAUUAGUAAUGAAAUACAUGCAAAGCUAGGGGCUGAUAAGAUCUCUGCAAUCUCUUCCACAAUCUGCUACCCCGAAGAAAAAUGUGUUGACUUUACAGGCUUGUCCUGAACGUGCACCAGCGCCGUUCUGCCCCGGCUGCCUGCAGUAAUUAAUGGGGCCUGUGCUUGCCCAGCUGUACGUCCAUCACUGUGCUCACACUGUGCUUGGAUAUUCACCAGCCAGUGCCCCAUUGCAUACCACGAAAAAAGAGAAGCGGGGGGGGAUAAAUCGAAAAAUAACCCCCCCGUAUACACAUACAGCGGUCGGAGAGCUCUGGGGUCCCUUCCCCUUUCGUUUUGCGGGGGGGGAAGCGGGGGCGCGGUGGAGCCCGGGGCUGCGGCAGGUGCAGCGGGGGCCUCCCCCCAGGCUGGGGGCUCGGUGCCGGUGCGGGGCUCGGUGCGGGGCGGCCACGUGGAACCGCGGCGCCCGCUGCCGCCGCCGCCCCUUCCUGCUCGCCUCGCCCCGGCGAGGAGGGAGGGAAGGAGGGAGGCAGGCAGCUAACGGGGAGGAGGGGAAAAGGAAAGCGAGGAGGAGGGAAAAAAAAAAAUUAAAAAAAAAAAAAAAAGAAAAAAAAAAAAAAGAAAAAGAAGGGGGGAGGAAAAAAAAGUUUGUACGUGCAGCGGCGGGCGAGGAGCGGGGAGGCGGCGGGGCCGUGCCGAGCCGAGCCGUGCCGAGCCGGGCGGGGGGCGGAAGGCCGGCGGAGCGCGGCGGCGGGAGGCAGAGGGCGGGCGGGCGGGAGGAUGCGGCUGAAGCUGGGCUUCCUGCUGCGCGCCGUGCUGCUGGCGGGCAGCUUCUUGGGGCUGCUGCUGCUCUGGUCCUCGCUGUCGCCCCGCGCCGAGGAACCGGCUCCCCCGGGA